AAGCACUUUAUUUGAUUUCCUUCGGGACUGAUUAUUUUGUGACUGAGCGGCGGACGGGUGAGUAACGCGUGGGUGACCUGCCCCAUACCGGGGGAUAACAGUUGGAAACGGCUGCUAAUACCGCAUAAGCGCACGGUUCCGCAUGGAACAGUGUGAAAAACUCCGGUGGUACGAGAUGGACCCGCGUCUGAUUAGGUAGUUGGUGGGGUAACGGCCUACCAAGCCAACGAUCAGUAGCCGACCUGAGAGGGUGACCGGCCACAUUGGGACUGAGACACGGCCCAAACUCC
rnacentral:rRNA from 1 species